AGCGAACGCUGGCGGCAGGCCUAACACAUGCAAGUCGAACGGACCUUUCGGGGUUAGUGGCGGACGGGUGAGUAACACGUGGGAACGUGCCUUUAGGCUCGGAAUAGCUCCUGGAAACGGGUGGUAAUGCCGAAUGUGCCCUUAGGGGGAAAGAUUUAUCGCCUUUAGAGCGGCCCGCGUCUGAUUAGCUAGUUGGUGAGGUAAUGGCUCACCAAGGCUACGAUCAGUAGCUGGUCUGAGAGGAUGACCAGCCACAUUGGGACUGAGACACGGCCCAAACUCCUACGGGAGGCAGCAGUGGGGAAUCUUGCGCAAUGGGCGAAAGCCUGACGCAGCCAUGCCGCGUGGAUGAUGAAAGCCUUAGGAUUGUAAAAUCCUUUCACCGGUGAAGAUAAUGACUGUAGCCGGAGAAGAAGCCCCGGCUAACUUCGUGCCAGCCGCCGCCGUAA
rnacentral:rRNA from 1 species